UCCAGCUCCGCUCCCCGGUUCUAGCGGCUCCGCAUUCCUCCAGUGGUUAACCCGGGCGCUGCUGACAGGUUCACGGAAACAACGUCAGCACAAAAACACAACUUUUAAAACUUCCCCAACAAUAAAAAGCCUCUGAUAAUCCCACACCGGCAGGGCAGCCUUUCAGCAGCAGAGCGUUGGGUUGUCGGUUCGACUCUCCCACGCUGACGUUCCCACAGAGCGACUCCCUCAGGCGCCGGCGUGACUCACCCGACCUGCUCCAGACGAGAUGCUCCUCGCUCGUCUCCUCGUGGACGUGUUUGACUCCAGUCGAGGAAAAUACAAGAAGAGCCCUGACAGGUUUAUUUUGUUUAUUUUCCAGAGAUGUGAGACAUUUACACUUCAGGCCUUUUGAAAGAACACGUGUGGGACAGAUAUUUAUUUGAGUGACAAAGGGAUUUCCAUUUGGAUAUAUAAUGCAAACUCUAUUUCAGAUCUUUCUUAGUAUUGUUGGCAAAUGGUCUUAAGGUCAGAAACUUAAUUUCCUCCAGAACUAAAAUCCCUGUAACCUCAGUGUAGUGAAGGAAACGGGCCUCGGGUUGGAUUUGUCAGGAAUUAAAUUUGAAAACAUAUUAAUGUGCAUAGUUUGAGCUGAAAUUCCGACGUCCCAUUAAGUGACGAGGCGAGCAGGCAUUCGCUCAUUAUCUCUGCAUGAGCCAGUCCCGAUAGCAGAUAAUGAGAAAAGUUUGGGUGGAGCAGAAAGGGAGUGAGGCGCCCGUCCUAUAAAUAAACCCUGAUCUGUGGGCUCAGGUCACACUGCUGCAUUUUUAGCAUUUUUCUGUCUGCUCCUUGAGAAGAGAGAGAGAGGAAAGAAAGAAUCAGGGGGCAUGAGGGUUGUCGCUGAGCGUUUCCUGUCAACACAAACGCUGGUGGGUUUAAAUCCCAUCAAACAACCCGGGGAUGUAAACAAGUGCGUCUAGACUCCAGAUGUUAGAUUCAUGCAGCCUCUCAGAAAAUAUUUAUCCAUAAUGAAUGAACAUAUCAGCAGAUUUGUAAUCCAGGACAAGUGUCUGUUUCAGUCAGAGGCUGCUCAGGUGGUUUGAACUCACUCCUCAGGUCACACACCUCACCUUCAACUCAGGUUUCCCCUGUGAGACGCACAGAUGGACCAGAUGGCAGGUGCAGAUAAGAGAGGCCAGAUCACCUCGAUCGCCCCCUGGUGGCUGGCUGCAUCGCAGGUCAUGAACCCUGUCUCCUCUGUAUUCUGUCUUCAGAUGACAUCCAAGAUGGCGGCACCCACAUCCAGGAUGUUUUGGCUUCAUUUCUGUACAAAGGGAGGAAGUGGAGGCCUCUAGUUCUGCAGUCUACAGGCAAAACUGUCAAUCAGACUUUGAGGGGAUGAUCCUGUAUCUGACCCGUUUAGCUUCCUGUCACUCGCCUGCUGUGGUGUCGAGCUUCGG